AACGAACGCUGGCGGCAGGCUUAACACAUGCAAGUCGAACGCCCCGCAAGGGGAGUGGCAGACGGGUGAGUAACGCGUGGGAAUCUACCUAGUUCUACGGAACAACACAGGGAAACUUGUGCUAAUACCGUAUACGCCUACGGGAAAGAUUUAUCGGAAUUAGAUGAGCCCGCGUAAGAUUAGCUAGUUGGUGGGGUAAU
rnacentral:rRNA from 1 species